UGACUUCGGGGACCAUAACGGCGUCGAGCGGCGGACGGGUGAGUAAUGCCUAGGAAAUUGCCCUGAUGUGGGGGAUAACCAUUGGAAACGAUGGCUAAUACCGCAUGAUGCCUACGGGCCAAAGAGGGGGACCUUCGGGCCUCUCGCGUCAGGAUAUGCCUAGGUGGGAUUAGCUAGUUGGUGAGGUAAGGGCUCACCAAGGCGACGAUCCCUAGCUGGUCUGAGAGGAUGAUCAGCCACACUGGAACUGAGACACGGUCCAGACUCCUACGGGAGGCAGCAGUGGGGAAUAUUGCACAAUGGGCGCAAGCCUGAUGCAGCCAUGCCGCGUGUGUGAAGAAGGCCUUCGGGUUGUAAAGCACUUUCAGUCGUGAGGAAGGUGGUGUAGUUAAUAGCUGCAUUAUUUGACGUUAGCGACAGAAGAAGCACCGGCUAACUCCGUGCCAGCAGCCGCGGUAAUACGGAGGGUGCGAGCGUUAAUCGGAAUUACUGGGCGUAAAGCGCAUGCAGGUGGUUUGUUAAGUCAGAUGUGAAAGCCCGGGGCUCAACCUCGGAAUUGCAUUUGAAACUGGCAGACUAGAGUACUGUAGAGGGGGGUAGAAUUUCAGGUGUAGCGGUGAAAUGCGUAGAGAUCUGAAGGAAUACCGGUGGCGAAGGCGGCCCCCUGGACAGAUACUGACACUCAGAUGCGAAAGCGUGGGGAGCAAACAGGAUUAGAUACCCUGGUAGUCCACGCCGUAAACGAUGUCUACUUGGAGGUUGUGGCCUUGAGCCGUGGCUUUCGGAGCUAACGCGUUAAGUAGACCGCCUGGGGAGUACGGUCGCAAGAUUAAAACUCAAAUGGAAUUGACGGGGGCCCGCACAAGCGGUGGAGCAUGUGGUUUAAUUCGAUGCAACGCGAAGAACCUUACCUACUCUUGACAUCCAGAGAACUUUCCAGAGAUGGAUUGGUGCCUUCGGGAACUCUGAGACAGGUGCUGCAUGGCUGUCGUCAGCUCGUGUUGUGAAAUGUUGGGUUAAGUCCCGCAACGAGCGCAACCCUUAUCCUUGUUUGCCAGCGAGUAAUGUCGGGAACUCCAGGGAGACUGCCGGUGAUAAACCGGAGGAAGGUGGGGACGACGUCAAGUCAUCAUGGCCCUUACGAGUAGGGCUACACACGUGCUACAAUGGCGCAUACAGAGGGCGGCCAACUUGCGAAAGUGAGCGAAUCCCAAAAAGUGCGUCGUAGUCCGGAUUGGAGUCUGCAACUCGACUCCAUGAAGUCGGAAUCGCUAGUAAUCGUGGAUCAGAAUGCCACGGUGAAUACGUUCCCGGGCCUUGUACACACCGCCCGUCACACCAUGGGAGUGGGCUGCAAAAGAAGUAGUAGUUUAACCUUCGGGGGGACGCUUACCACUUUGUGGUUCAUGACUGGGGUGAGUCUAGGUGA
rnacentral:rRNA from 1 species